AAUAUAGUGCCUGAGUAAAAGGAUAGCUUUGAUAGAGCUAAUAAUGUGCUUGUGGCACCUAUAUUA
rnacentral:tRNA from 1 species